UGGGGAAUAUUGGACAAUGGGCGCAAGCCUGAUCCAGCCAUGCCGCGUGAGUGAUGACGGCCUUAGGGUUGUAAAGCUCUUUCGCCAGGGACGAUAAUGACGGUACCUGGAUAAGAAGCCCCGGCUAACUUCGUGCCAGCAGCCGCGGUAAUACGAAGGGGGCUAGCGUUGUUCGGAAUCACUGGGCGUAAAGCGCACGUAGGCGGACUUUUAAGUCAGGGGUGAAAGCCUGGAGCUCAACUCCAGAACUGCCUUUGAUACUGAAAGUCUAGAGUUCGGAAGAGGUUGGUGGAACUGCGAGUGUAGAGGUGAAAUUCGUAGAUAUUCGCAAGAACACCAGUGGCGAAGGCGGCCAACUGGUCCGACACUGACGCUGAGGUGCGAAAGCGUGGGGAGCAAACAGG
rnacentral:rRNA from 1 species